UGCUUUGAAGAGUGCCUGGCAUAAGGCGAGUAAAUAUUUGUUGAAUUCAUUCCAGCUGAAGGCUCCAGACCCCGCAGGUGUCCCUCUGCUAUCGGUUUGUCUUGUCCCUGUGCUCAAGGGUCCUGAAGCAGCUGCUAAUAUUUUCCCCGCAGGGAGAGUGAGCAAGAAGCAAUCUUACCCUGGAAUGCUGGAAGAAAUACUCGACAAUGGGCUACCAUUCCCAGGAGGGCUACAACACUGUGCGAUGACCCUGGCUCCAGCCUGGAUACUCUGAUCCGUUUGGAAGGGACAAGAUCAGCUAUGUGAUGCUAAAUGUUAGUGAUCCUUCAAGCAUUUAAGUAAAUUAUGAUGGAUUUAACUACAAAAUUGUUCUUGACAACAUUGUUUCUAAUACCUGAGAAUCAGAUGCAAUCCAAAUAGCAAAUGCAAGACUAAAUAAAAUAUAAAACAUCCAUAUAAUAAAACACUGUCAAUAUAAAUUUUGGCCAAUCUGUGAGGUUAAAAAAUGGUAAUACAAUUUUUGGCAUC